GAUGUGUGUGGCUGGUUUACCGGCGCUAAUUAAAAUGGGGCGUCGGUCCGUAAUCGAGUAUAAAUACCGUACGUACCAAAAGACCUAACCCUUUUUUCUCCCCUCCCGACGCUCUCUCUCUAACUCUCUCUCCAUCCCUACUCUCUCUCUCUCUCUCUCUCUCUCUCUCUCUCUCUCUCUCUCCCUUUACAUGCAGCGACGGCCAUCGUCAUCUCCACCUCUACCAUCCCUUUCUCAAUCGACCCUCUCUCUCUAUAUUUCCCCUUUUCCCUCUCUCAAUCGACCAUCUCUCUUCGUUUCCCCUUUCUCAAUCCACCUCUACUCCUCCAGGGUUUCUCUCUCUCUCUCUCUCUCUCUCUCUCUCUCUCUGUGUGUGUCUGUCUCUUAGGGGUUUUUAAUCUCUAUCUCUCUUUUAACAUGUCUAAGGAUGAGAUACGAGGAUCUCUGCAAUCUGAUGUAUGAUAUGGACAUCAAGGAAGCCUUAGCCACUUGCAUCUCAAGCAUUCAAUGGAUCUCUCCAUAAAGCAUGAAUAUCUCCCCGAAGAUCUACAAACUAGAAGAAAAGCUCUUGGACAUGGAGACCGUGGAUAUUCUAAGGCAGCAGGCCUUGUUAAAAACACCUGUAAAACACAUGUCAGGGCAUUUGUCAAUUCCAAAAAAUGAAGGUGUAUAUGAGUUCUGGAUUAGUUUAAAUCUUUAUUUCAUGGUUCUCCUCAGGAUGGUUCUAUCUUAGGAUUUCUUUACGUGCAGAAUUUGGAGAAUGGUCACCAUGAGAAUGAAGAGCCCAAAGGCAAAACUGUAGGUUCAAUGAUUUAAUUAUUUUAUAUUAUUGUCUAAUUGUUUA